CAGUUUGAAGGGUAGUGACUCAUCUGCUAUUUUACUUGUACUGCCAUUUAAAAGUACUUUUUGGGCUGAUUAGCUGGUUGGUCUAUACCACUUGGCCUUUGGGUAGGUGAGCAAGUGGUCUGCAUGGCCUGCACCUAGUCAGAAACGGGCUUCUCCUGUCUUCUGGACUUCGGCUGGAUUUUGACUGGGCCUUCGGGUUCCUUUCCCUUUUAGGCUGUUCUUUAGGCCAACUUCCCUCGAGCCCAAAGUUUAAGUUUUGAUCCAAACAGCUUCAACUAUCUGACUCUUUCUGAGAAUGACUAUUAGGCUGACAUGGUACUGGAAUUCCUGUUGUGUUAACAACUCAACAACUUAAGAGUUGCUGUAUCAUUAGAUAAUGCAUGGUGCACUGCUAUUUUAUUAGCUCGAAAGAUAGGAAUUGUAUUCUUUAGCAUUACACAAUGGGUUUAGUAUAGAUGUUGAAGUGAUUGAUGUCGAAGGAAUGGUGAUAUCGUGGAAUGGUGAAGAAAUGAUUGGCUUCGAUCAUUAUACAAUGCUCGCGCCCAAUGGGUACCUGUAUAUUUCCGAGAUUCCUUUUUUGCUGCUAUCUCCCAAUCAAGAGUACGAUGGCUCCUUUUUUGAAGGCUAUGUGAAACAACAGACCACAUUACCAUUGUUCUUUAGGCAAUAUGAAAGAGCUUUGGAGAACUGGUUUGAAAGGGAAAUGGAAGCAAACUUUUCUGAUUGUGAUUUGUGUAGUUUUUCUGUUUUAUUAUUACUCACCAAUUCUCUUUGCUUUUCGUUUUAUAGGUCUCCAUGCAUGUUGUUGCAGCACAUUAGGUCUGUUGGGAUUGUAGGGAUAUAAGUUAGUUGGUUAGUAGCUUAUGAGUGAAGCAAAGAAUACUUGUAUAAAUAACAAACACCCAUCUCUAUCUCUGUAAUUCAUUCAUUGUUCAAGGAAUACAAUCUUUAGUCAUUCACUUUCUCUCUCUAAAUUCUCUGUCAUUGUUUUUCGUUUUGCUUCUUCUGCAAUCUCCAAAAGCUAAUCAUGGUAUUGUUAUGUGUUCAAAUAUGAACAAGUUCAAAAAAAAAAAA